rnacentral:lncRNA from 1 species
GGGAGGGCUCUCACGGUGACUGAAAAACUCACUCCAGCAUCUGAGCUGAGUUGAGUGUAUGUGAUCCCACAGUUCACCUUUCUACAUCAGACCGCAAGACCUUUCCUCUCGGACAGCUGCAGUGAGAUCGCUGUCACUAAAGAUGGAGGGUGAGAAGGGAACAUUAGAGGCAGGUACCAAAGAGCAACCUGAUAUGACGGGUCCCCUGACAGCCGAACAGCUGGCAGCUAUAGAGGAUGAAGAGAUCCUCAAUAAUAUGCUAGAUAAGGCUGUGGAUUUUGAGGAGAGGAAAAUGAUCCGCGCUGCCAUGAGAGAACUGCUGAAGAGAAAGAGGGGUGAGGACCGGGUCAUGUCCCUAAUGUCACAUAUUCAGUAUAUAUGGUCUGCUGAGUCUAAUGUGCUUCCUGACAUUAUUUUAGGUGAAUCUCACAAAACUUGUCUGGAAUCU